UGCAUGUUUAUGUAGAAAUAAUUGAACACACCCCCGGAUAAGGAUCUUAAAAGCUAUGCUUUAAAGCACAACAUUUCUGUUUAUUUUAAUACAAUAAAUAUUUAAUGUUAAACAAGUUCUAAUUUUCAGUCCGUCUGAACGCAGUGCUUCGCUAUGAGAAACACUUUCUUUACCAUCUUUAUUGUGUUUUAACAUGUUGUCUUUUGUCAUGUGUUAUUAGGCAUGUUCGACUUCAUAAAGCGCUGCGAGAACCCACAUCAUAAGUUGAUGACGUAAACGUAUCGCGAGACUGAGUCAAGAAAUUACACGUAGAGGUCUAAUUUCGAACCGCUCUCGCGGUACAUUGACGUCAUCAUCAUAUCAGCGCCGCAUGAGGUCGAACACACCUAUUAUUUGCGGGCACGCGCCUCCGUCCUCGUGAGUUCAAAAACUGAAUUUAACCGAUGUUUACCUCAGACGACAGUUUUCGUUUCUGUGAUAAAUUCUGAGGUAAGUUUUCUUUAAAUCCUGGUUACUUCAUUAAAAUAAGUUCACAGUAAUGUUCAUUUUGUUGUUAGUAAUUUGAUAUGACUAAAAUAUUAUGAACUUUAAUGUUUACUGUUGAUUUAAGCUGUUUGUUUGACUGACCUCGUGAUGUAGCUAUGAGCUAAUGUAGAGCAGAUCUUUUAUUUGUCUUUAGUUCUAUAAAAUGUAUUAUCCUCGUUCUUAAAUGUAUUUUACAUUGUUUAGUUAAUUAUUACGCAGGUUAUUUCAAUGUAGGGUUUUUACGCGUAAAUAAUAAGGUUAUAACGUAACUUACAGUACGGGAACACAGUUUACAGUAGAAGAAUUUAAACAGAAGCCAUCAAUUCUGCAUUAAUAACUAUUGUACUUUUAUGUUCACUUUUCUUUCAGCUAAUUUUCUUGUUGUGUUUGAUCUUUUCCAUUGGCUGAAGAUUACAACUCCGAACCGCUAGAUGGCAGCUGCAGUACACAAACACGAGGCCAAAUCUCGCGAGAAAGAUUUCCGCUGUUUGAAAAUCAACAACACCGACCAGCGAGCAGCCAAGGGGAAAGCAAUCUUCCACACUCGUUUGGUCUUGUGUCAAAGCUGUGCGAAACUGGAGGGAGAAACUUGAGAGACCGUGCCGGAAGAAUGCUGGACAGAGUUCCAUAAAAUUCAUUAAUUUCAAAGUUCAACAUGAAUGGUGGUGGUCCACUGCAGAAGCAAGCAUUUGAAAAAACAUCAGUUCUCAGUUAUUAAAGAUGCUGUGUUGAACAACUUCCCAGCAGCAACAGAACUGGAAGUGAAGGAUGCAAUGGGGGCAUUUCAAACAGGCACCAGGGAGGACGUGGUGUAUAGAAAUUAGUGCAAUUAAUAAGUUGAAGUGAACUGAAGAUAGUUUGUUAAUGUUUAGAUGUUAUUUCAUUUUUAAAAUUGUAUUUUGUUAUUUAUGCUUUUAUUUUGUUACUGUUUUUAUUCUUUUUGUUAAAAGUAGUCUUUCUUCAUUUUGUCUUAUCUGAAUUUCUAUUGUAUUAAUACUAUUUUUUGUAAUAAAUUGCAUGAUUACAUGUUUAUGAGAACC